rnacentral:rRNA from 1 species
GAUGAACGCUGGCGGCGUGCCUAAUACAUGCAAGUCGAGCGAAGCGGGGUCGGGUGAGUAACACGUGGAUAACCUCCUAUAAGACUGGGAUAACUUCGGGAAACCGGAGCUACACCCGACACUUAUAGUUGGAUCCGCGCUGCCUGGGCUAGUUGGGAAGGUGACGGCUUACCAGGGCAACGAUGCAUAGCCAACCUGAGAGGGUGAGCGGCAAAACGGGAACUGAGACACGGUCCAGACUCGUACGGGAGGCAGCAGUUGGGAUUCUUCCGCAAUGGGCGAAAGCCUGACGGAGCAACGCCGCGUGAGUGAUGAAGGUCUUCGGAUCGUAAAACUCUGUUAUUAGGGAAGCGGUACCUAAUCAGAAGGCCACGGCUAACUACGUGCCAGCAGCCGCGGUAAUAC